rnacentral:misc_RNA from 2 species
CUGAGAACCGGCGCCCUCGUGGCCCGACCCUCAAACCACCGAGUACCUUACCCCAACGUUGCCUCGGCGGGCGCGGCCUCGCGCCGCCCCGCCGGUGGACAAAACCAUAACAGCUUUGUAUGACGAUUGUCUGAUAUUACUCUUCGCGAAUGCGAUAAAGUA